rnacentral:rRNA from 1 species
UACGGAGGGUGCAAGCGUUAUCCGGAUUCGCUGGGUUUAAAGGGUGCGUAGGUGGCUUUGUAAGUCAGUGGUGAAAUCUCGGAGCUUAACUCCGAAACUGCCAUUGAUACUGCUUAGCUUGAAUCAGGUCGAGGUGGAUGGAAUAUUACAUGUAGCGGUGAAAUGCUUAGAUGUGUAAUAGAACACCGAUUGCGAAGGCAGUUCACUAGGCCUGUAUUGACACUGAGGCACGAAAGCGUGGGGAGCAAACAGGAUUAGAUACCCCAGUAGU